rnacentral:rRNA from 1 species
CAGGGAUUGCCUUAGUAACGGCGAGUGAAGCGGCAAUAGCUCAAAUUUGAAAUCUGGCGCUUGCGUCCGAGUUGUAAUUUGUAGAGGAUGAUUUUGGUUAGGUACCUUUCGAGUUCCUUGGAACAGGACGCCUUAGAGGGUGAGAGCCCCGUACGAUUGGAUGCCGAGCCUCUGUAAAUCUCCUUCGACGAGUCGAGUAGUUUGGGAAUGCUGCUCUAAAUGGGAGGUAAAUUUCUUCUAAAGCUAAAUACCGGCCAGAGACCGAUAGCGCACAAGUAGAGUGAUCGAAAGAUGAAAAGCACUUUGAAAAGAGGGUUAAAUAGCACGUGAAAUUGUUGAAAGGGAAGGAUUUAUGACCAGACUUUUUCUAGGAGGAUCAUCCGGUGUUCUCACCGGUGCACUUCUUCUAGUUUAGGCCAGCAUCGACUUCUGGCGGCGGAUAAAAGCUUUAGGAAUGUGGCUCCCUACGGGGAGUGUUAUAGCCUAUUGUAUAAUACGCUGCUGGGGGUCGAGGUACGCGCUUCUGCAAGGAUGCUGGCGUAAUGGUUAUCAAUCACCCGUCUUGAAACACGGACCAAGGAGUCGAACAUUUAUGCGAGUGUUUGGGUGUUAAACCCUCACGCGUAAUGAAAGUGAACGGAGGUGAGAGCCCUUACGGGUGCAUCAUCGACCGAUCCUGAAGUUUUCGGAUGGAUUUGAGUAAGAGCAUAACUGUUCGGACCCGAAAGAUGGUGAACUAUGCGUGGAUAGGGUGAAGCCAGAGGAAACUCUGGUGGAGGCUCGCAGCGGUUCUGACGUGCAAAUCGAUCGUCAAAUCUGCGCAUGGGG